GGACCUUCCUCUUGAAAUCUCAAAACAAACAUUCUGUGUCGCUCCAUCCCCGCAGGGGCAGAGACACCCCCGCUAUUCUCGGCUGUGUACCAGAUCUUGGGAAGUCGGAAUAGGAGAGCACUCAUUCUUGGGGUGGGCUUACUACUUAAUGCUUUCAGCAGUUAUCCGCUCCACUUUGGCUACCCAGCGUUUUACCGUGGCACGAUAACUGGUUACACCCAGAGGUGCGUCCUUCCCGGUCCUCUCUACUAGGGAAAGGUCCUCUCAAUCUUCUAAACGCCCACACCGGAUAUGGACCGAACUGUUCACGACGUUUGAACCCAGCUCACGUUACCGUUUUAAUGGGCGAAACAGCCCAACCCUUGGAACUACUACAGCCCAGGUGGCGAAGAGCCGACAUCGAGGGCCCAACCUUCCCGUCGAUGUGAACUCUUGGGGAAGAUCAGCCUGUUUAUCCCUUAGAAGUAACUUUUAUUCCGUUGAGCGUACGGCCCUUCCACUCGGCGCCGCCGAUCACUAAGGCGGACUUUUCGUCCCUGCCUCGACGGUCGGGUCUUGCAGUCAAAGCUCCCUUCUGCCUUUUGCACUCGAGGCCAAUCUCCGUCCGGCCCGAGGAAACCUUUGCACGCCUACCGUUACCUUUUGGCGAGCCUAACGCCCCAUAGAAAACUGUCUACCUGAGGAAUGUCCCUCGGCCCGUAGGUCCUGACACAAGGUUAGUAAUUCUAGCUCUUCCAGAGUGGAUAUCUCACUUUAUGGCUCGGGCCCCCCGGAAGGGGGCCUUCUUUUGCCCUCCACCUUAAGCUGCCGCAGGAAAGGCCCAAGCCAUCCAGGCGAACAGUGAAGCUUCAUAGGGUCUUUCUGUCCAGGUGCAGGUAGUCUCGCAUCUCACAGACAUGUAUUUGCACCGAGCCUUCCUCCCCGAGACAGUGCCCAGGAUCGUUACGGCCUUUCGUGCGGGUCGAACUUACCCGACAAGGAAUUUCCGCUACCUUAGACCUUAUUGUUCACGCCCGCCGGUUCACCGGGCUUUCGGUCGCCGGCUCCCCUGUUCAUCAGGUUCACCAACUCCGACCUUCCCACUGGGCAGGCGUCAGCCCCCAUUACAUGUCUUACGACUGCGAGACCUGUGUUUUGGUAAACCAGUCGUCCCGGGCUCUUGGUCCAAGGAAGUGGGUUGACCUGAUGACGGGGAGCCGGCGACCGAAGCCCCGGUGAACGGCGGCCGUAACAAUAACGGUCCUAAGUAGCGGAAAUUCCUUGUCGGUAAGUUCGACCCGCACGAAAGCGUAACGAUCUGGGCACUGUCUCGGGCGAGGCUUCGGUGAAAUAGACAUGUCUGUGAAGAUGCGGACUACCUGCACCUGGACAGAAAGACCCUGAAGCUUCACUGUUCCCUGGGAUUGGCUUUGGCCUUUCCUGCGCAGCUUAGGUGGAGGGCAAGAAGGCCCCCUUCGGGGGGGCCCGAGCCAAUCAGUGAGAUACCACUCUGGAAGAGCUAGAAUUCUAACCUUGUGUCAGGACCUACGGCCGAGGGACAGUCUCAGGUAGACAGUUCUAUGGGCGUUAGGCCUCCCAAAAGGUACGGAGGCGUGCAAAGGUUUCCUCGGGCCGGACGGAGAUUGGCCCUCGAGUGCAAAGGCGAGGGAGCUUGAUGCAAGACCCACCCGUCGAGCAGGGACGAAAGUCGCCUUAGUUGAAUCCGGCGGCGCCGAGUGGAAGGGCCGUCGCUCAACGGAUAAAGUUACUCUAGGGAUAAACAGGCUGAUCUUCCCCAAGAGUUCACAUCGAGGGAAGGUUUGCACCUCGAUGUCGGUCUUCGCCACCUGGGGUGCGGUUGCCUGUUCGCAGCAGUGAGCGUUCAGAAGUUCGUGAGACAGUUCGGUUCCAUAACCGGUGUGGGCGUUAGAGCAUGAAGGGACCUUUCCCUAGUACGAGAGGACCGGAAGGACGCACCUCUGGACAGUAUCGUGCCCACGGUAAACGCUGGGUAGCCAAGUGCGAGCGGAAUAACUGCUGAAAAGCAUCUAAGUAGUAAGCCCACCCAAGAUGGAGUGCUCUCCUAUUCCGCUUCCCCAAGCCUCUGGUAGCACAGCCGAGAUAGCGAGGGUUCUCUGCCCUGCGGGGAUGGAGCGACAGAAGUUUUGAGAAUUCAAGAGAAGGUCACGGCGAGACGAGCCGUUUAUCAUUACGAAUUACGAUAGGUUCAAGUGAAGUGCAGUGAUGUAUGCAGCUGAGGCAUCCUAACAGACCGAUAGACUUGA
rnacentral:rRNA from 1 species